rnacentral:rRNA from 1 species
UCCUACGGGAGGCAGCAGUAGGGAAUCUUCCGCAAUGGACGAAAGUCUGGCGGAGCAACACCGCGUGAGUGAUGAAGGCUUUCGGGUCGUAAAACUCUGUUGUUAGGGAAGAACAAGUGCUAGUUGAAUAAGCUGGCAUCUUGACGGUGCCUACCCAGAAAACUCACGGCUAUCUAUGUGACUGACACCGCGGUAAUACGUAGUUGGCAAGCGUUAUCCGGAAUUAUUGGGCGUAAAGCGCGCGCAGGUGGUUUCUUAAGUCUGAUGUGACAGCCCUCGGCUCACCCGUGGAGGGUCAUUGGAAACUGGGAGACUUGAGUGCAGAAGAGGAAAGUGGAAUUCCAUGUGUAGCGGUGAAAUGCGUAGAGAUAUGGAGGAACACCAGUGGCGAAGGCGACUUUCUGGUCUGUAACUGACACUGAUUAGCGAAAGCGUGGGGAGCAAACAGGAUUAGAUACCCUGGUAGUCCACGCCGUAAUCGAUGAGUGCUAAGUGUUAGAGGGUUUCCCCCUUUAGUGCUGAAGUUAACGCAUUAAUCCCCCGCCCGGUUUCCGCCU